AUUUCAUACGGGAAUGAUGUUCUCCCACGGGAAACCGAAACCGCUUAUCAUAAGCUGAUGACUUCUGCGUUUUA
rfam:Ruminococcus albus 8 contig00006, whole genome shotgun sequence.